GCUGUUUUCCUUUUUUUUCUUUUUGUGUAGCAACUGGUUCAGAAUGUUAACACCAGAAGCUUCAUACAGUCACAACCUUUCUACUGCGUUGGUACUGUUUGUACAAUAGCCCUGCGGGUUGGCAAACCUGAAGUGGAUCAAAUUGUUGUGCAGUGGGAAUCUAAUCUUUUGCUCUCAGUUCCACGCCUCAUUGUGUAGCCUCCCUAGCCUCUGGUUAGUCUGUUGUGGUGCCAGAAUUGUUUAUUUUAAAUAUAUUUCCAGAGUUGGGAAGCCAUGAUGACAGAUGCUGGUGAUCAGCCAAGGAGAAGGGUUUAAUAGCGAAGGCGCUGUGGAGUGCUGAACUGGGCAGCCGUUGGAGACAGGUGCACCUGUCGAGCAAACUAUCGUCUGCCUCGAGAAAACUGUAGGCAGAACAGAGCGAGAGGGGUCGCAGGAAGAGGGGAGUGGUGCAGGGGAAGGAGAGCCUGCCUGUCUGGGGAGCCGAGCGCGGGCCUGUCGCCCCUGCAGUCAGGUGUUCAGGACACCGUGCCAGGUCAACACACGCCACAGAGAUAAGGCAGGAUGGCCCCUCCCGGCUGAGUCAUGUGUUCAUGUUCCCAGCCAGAAAUGAAGUGGAUUGUGCUUUAAACAGGCCAGGCUGCGAAGGAAGGGAUCAGGUUUAAGGCAGCUACCUUGACUUCAACCUCCUGCUACUUCAAGUCACAUUGCCUUCACAGGGGAUAGUAUUUCAGAGCUUCCACAGUCAAAGGAUUUCAAAACUUUACUUUUUGCAAGGCUUUGUUGAGACCAGGUUCCUCAACUCGUGAGGGGAGCAGCCUGCUUUAUCUUUGUAAACCUGCUCUACAGCUGGGGAGCAGGAAUAAACAGGGCUUCUAUUGUAAAGCACAAUAUGAAUUGUCUGAGAGAUUCUGAAUGGGAUUUUUACUACAUUUAGAAUGUUCCUCCCCACCAGAAUCCAA
rnacentral:lncRNA from 1 species